CGGGGUGAGUAAUGUAUGGGGAUCUGCCUGAUGGGGGGGGAUAACUACUGGAAACGGUAGCUAAUACCGCAUAAUGUCUGCGGACCAAAGCGGGGGACCUCCGGGCCUCGCGCCAUCAGAUGAACCCAUAUGGGAUUAGCUAGUAGGUAAGGUAACGGCUUACCUAGGCGACGAUCCCUAGCUGGUCUGAGAGGAUGAUCAGCCACACUGGAACUGAGACACGGCCCAG
rnacentral:rRNA from 1 species